AACGAACGCUGGCGGCGUGCCUAACACAUGCAAGUCGAACGAGAAAGCGGGCUUCGGCCCGUGAGUACAGUGGCAGACGGGUGAGUAACACGUGGGUAACCUGCCCGGAGGUGGGGGAUAACCCUUCGAAAGGAGGGCUAAUACCGCAUAACAUCCCGAGCUCCUCGGAGCUCGAGAUCAAAGCUAGCCUCUACAUGUAAGCUAGCGCCACCGGAGGGGCCCGCGCCCCAUUAGCUUGUUGGUGAGGUAACGGCUCACCAAGGCUACGAUGGGUAGCCGGCCUGAGAGGGUGAUCGGCCACACUGGAACUGAGACACGGUCCAGACUCCUACGGGAGGCAGCAGUGAGGAAUUUUGCGCAAUGGGCGAAAGCCUGACGCAGCGACGCCGCGUGGAGGACGAAGGCCUUCGGGUCGUAAACUCCUGUCGAGUGGGACGAAUCCCGGAAGGAUGAAUAAGCCUUCCGGUUGACGGUACCUCCAGAAGAAGGCCCGGCCAACUACGUG
rnacentral:rRNA from 1 species